ensembl:miRNA Gm25952 predicted gene, 25952
CCUGGACUCACUUUGUAGAACAGGCUGGCCUCAAACUCACAGAGAUCUGCCCACCUCUGCCUCCUGAGUGCAGG